rnacentral:rRNA from 1 species
AUUGAACGCUGGCGGCAGGCUUAACACAUGCAAGUCGAGCGGAGAGAGGUAGCUUGCUACUGAUCUUAGCGGCGGACGGGUGAGUAAUGCUUAGGAAUCUGCCUAUUAGUGGGGGACAACAUUUCGAAAGGAAUGCUAAUACCGCAUACGUCCUACGGGAGAAAGCAGGGGAUCUUCGGACCUUGCGCUAAUAGAUGAGCCUAAGUCGGAUGAGCUAGUUGGUGGGGUACAGGCCUACCAAGGCGACGAUCUGUAGCGGGUCUGAGAGGAUGAUCCGCCACACUGGGACUGAGACACGGCCCAGACUCCUACGUGAGGCAGCAUUGGGGAAUAUUGGACAAUGGGCGGAAGCCUGAUCCAGCCAUGCCGCGUGUGUGAAGAAGGCCUUAUGGUUGUAAAGCACUUUAAGCGAGGAGGAGGCUACUUUAGUUAAUACCUAGAGAUAGUGGACGUUACUCGCAGAAUAAGCACCGGCUAACUCUGUGCCAGCAGCCGCGGUAACAC